AGCGAACGCUGGCGGCGUGCCUCAGACAUGCAAGUCGAACGAUUAAACUUGCCUUCGGGCAAGAUAUAAAGUGGCGCACGGGUGAGUAACACGUAAGUAAUCUACCUUCGAGUGGGGAAUAACGUCGGGAAACCGACGCUAAUACCGCAUAAUGCAGCGGCACCUAAUGGUGACAGUUGUUAAAGGAGCAAUUCGCUCGAAGAGGAGCUUGCGGCAGAUUAGCAGUUGGUAAGGUAACGGCUUACCAAGGCUACGAUCUGUAACCGGUCUAAGAGGACGGUCGGUCACACUGACACUGAAUAACGGGUCAGACUCCUACGGGAGGCAGCAGUCGGGAAUUUUGGGCAAUGGGCGAAAGCCUGACCCAGCAACGCCGCGUGAAGGAUGAAGUAUUUCGGUAUGUAAACUUCGAAAGAAUAGGAAGAAU
rnacentral:rRNA from 1 species